UUGAGGAAUAUUGGACAAUGGGGGCAACCCUGAUCCAGCCAUGCCGCGUGAAUGAUGAAGGCCUUCGGGUUGUAAAGUUCUUUUGGAGGGGACGAUGAUGACGGUACCCUCAGAAUAAGCUCCGGCUAACUUCGUGCCAGCAGCCGCGGUAAUACGAAGGGAGCUAGCGUUGUUCGGAAUUACUGGGCGUAAAGGGCGCGUAGGCGGUUUGGUUAGUCAGAUGUGAAAGCCCAGGGCUUAACCCUGGAACUGCGUUUGAUACUGCCAAGCUUGAAUUCGGGAGAGGUGAGUGGAAUUCCCAGUGUAGAGGUGAAAUUCGUAGAUAUUGGGAAGAACACCGGUGGCGAAGGCGGCUCACUGGACCGACAUUGACGCUGAGGCGCGAAAGCGUGGGGAGCAAACAGGAUUAGAAACCCGAGUAGUCC
rnacentral:rRNA from 1 species